UGACAUUAUGCAAAUACAUGUGAACAAAAACAACAUAUACAAUAAAAUAUGCAUUUAUUUAUAGUGAUUAAAUUACCAUUUCACUAAAAACAGUCCUGCACAGCGAUUACAUUACGUGUGCUCACACAUUAAAAUGAACUCAUAUCCACACUGAAGUGUAUCGACUCAAUUAAGAUUUCCAUUCCAACAUAAACACAUUUCAAAUAUAAAUAUAGCACUGUACACCAUUCCCUUUAAGAAAACUCUGAAAUGAGAAGAUUGUCAAGGACUGCCCCAUUGGAAAUGAUGUGGCUGAUAUCAAAUGUGAGCGUGAGCAGCCAAAAGAAAGAUGAGAAGAAAAAAAAACAACACAUGCUCUGGUGAACAUGCAUGUAUUCAUGCGCAUACUACAGAAACCAAGUGUAAACACAAAGUUUCAUUUGAAAAUAGCAACCUCGUACAUUUUUAACCUUGAAGAAAACGUCGUCAAAAAAAAAAAAAAGAAAAACAAAUGGCCACUGUUCCAUUAAAACAUUUAGUCAAUCUGCAGAUAUGUGCCAAAUUCCUUCUGCUCCUUUCAGCAUUUAAUCUCGCCUUUGGUGAUUACUGCAUCUACCACAGGUUUAGUGUCUGGUUAGAAACUAGCAAGAGAGCUGUUAUUAAUUUUAUUUUAAUUUAUACAUGUACAAAGUGUGCCAACUUCUAAUGAGGCCUGACUGGCAAAGAAUUUCAAAACAACACCAUCUUCUGUUUAAAAAAAAACAACAAAAAACAAACAAACAAAAAAUUCACUGGCUUGAAUGAAGGUCACACAUAUUACAACAGAAGGAGUCGGUAAAAUAAAAAACCCAUCUGAAACAACGCUCUCUUCACGCUCAUGUCACAGUGCUAAGUCAAGUGUACAGCUAAUGGCUGGCUCAUACAAUCUCAAUUUACAAGGCACAAGCUAAUGACUCCACUGUGGGAAGAUGCAGAAAACUGUGUGCAGCUCGUUACACAGAAAGGUAACUAUGUGCUGUGGGUGGGUUGAUUAAGAUCAAUUUUCAUUCCAGAGAAGAAAAAACAAGUUUGACUAACUUGUUCUUCAUCCGGCUGAAGACGUUCACACACAACCAGCGCUACUGAGAAAGUCCGUGUUAACUGAACAAAGUCCUCAUAAAAAAAACAAAAGCAAACAAACCACAACUGCUGUGAGUCACUGCACAAUUAGCCCGUCCACAUAUAACAGCUCAAACUGCCUUCACUGUUGUCUUGUGUUGAAAUCUUUGGCUGCACUGUAGAAAUUUAGAUAGCUGCACCUGAUACCUCAUUAUUGAGGAGUAUGCAGUCACAAUGUUUUCCUACAAUACAUUUAGUAAUGUAUGACAUCUGUUCUAUCAAAUAUUAAUACAAUCAGUUGCCAGUUUAUUAGAUACACCUAGGCACACAUGUAAUAAGUUCUUCUUUCUACACUAGUUUCAGACACGUUUUAUGUGUAGCUUGAGCAUUGCACAGCUGGAUAAGUUAAUUAAACAGAAAGCACUUCAUAAUGGAUUCUGUUUCAG
ensembl:lncRNA